rnacentral:tRNA from 1 species
GUGUCUGUAGCUUAGAUGGAUAGAGCACCGGACUCCGGAUCCGGGAAUGCGGGUUCAAGUCCCGCCAGACACGCCA